CACGGCACCAGCCUGACUCUCUCCCCUAAGCAGUUCUUGUCUCCCUCCUCGUAUCACCCCGGUCCUCUCUGAUGCUUUGCCACCUCCCUCGCACUUGCAGCCCCAGAACCUUAACUCCUCCCGGAGCCUCUCUGUGUGUCCCACCUGCCCACCCACACCCCAGGACCCUGACCCACUCUGAGCGGCGUCCGUGAGCAGGGAGCUCCGUGCCGUCGCUGGGGCCUGGACCAGGUGUCCCAGCACCGUCCUCAUCCCCUCUGCUUCACAGCUGCCGUCUUCCUCUCUGCCCUCCUGGGCUCGCUCUCGGAAGGAGUCCCAGGGCCUGACGAUCGGUGGCUGUGCCAGCCGGCGCCCAGGUGCGGGGACCAGGCCUACAACCCCCUGGAGCAGUGCUGUGACGAUGACACCAUCCUGCCCCUGAACCGGACCCGCCUCUGUGGCCCCCACUGCCGCUACUGGCCCUGCUUUGAGCUCUGCUGUCCUGAGUCAGUCGGUCACCCGAGACUUGUUGUGCGGCUGAGAGUCCUGGGCGUCAGCUCCCAGUGCCACUCAUCCCCCAUCUCCAGGGUCUGUGACAGAAGGAUGCCUUCCCAGAGGAGACACAGAAGAACACUAACUUCCACUAAGGCAGCCCAAAAGGAGAGGUCGGAGUGGGCUUCAAAUGUUACUCAAGUCCUGGAAGCUUUGUGAAUCAUCGACACUGAAAGUAAGCAGGCAACAGUCAGAACCCCUGUUACAUGGUACCCUCAGGCUUCGGAGCCCCUCUUGACAAGCUGUGUCCCAAACCUGCUCGGUAAUAUUAUGUCCUUAUCUUCUGGUGUUCCUAGGAAGAAUCAUUCAGCCAACAGGGAAAAGGGUUGCAUUGCAGUAGAAGUUCCUUGUGUAGACACGGAAAAUGCCCCCAGCAGGCUGGAGGCAGCUGAGUGCUGUGCCCGCGCUGGGCUCCAGGUGCUCCUGUCCAGAGUGGCGGGAACUACAUCGUGACCAGCCAGCGAGGCAGAGCUGGGCAGGUCUGAUGAAGCCAUCCUCCACCUGCCUUCUGAUGAUUUGACCUUACACGGUUAACGUGGUGAUCUGGAAUAGGCUGUGUCUUACAGAGAGAUUAAUGCCCUUUCAUUUCAUCUUUGCGGGGACUUUUUUUCUUUGUCAAGCACAGAUAACGUAUUUUAUUCAAUGCUUUUUUGCAUGCAUCAAGAUGAUUGUCCAAUUGAUUGCUCACAUCGUUAGGUUAACAUGAAUUACAUAGCUUGAUUUUUCAAGAUUUAUUUAUUUAUUUAUUUGAGUGAGAGAGAGAAAGGGAGAGAACAGAGAGAGAGAGGUCUUCCAUCUGCUGGUUCACUCCCCAGAUGGCCACAACACCCAUGGCUGGGCCAGGCUGAAGCCACAAGCUGGGAACUACAUUCAGGUCUCCCUCGUGGGUAGCAGGGGCCCAAGUUGCUUCCCAGGCACCGUUAGCAGGGAGCUGGAUUGGAAGUGUUAGGUAGGAAGUCAGAAAUGGAGCCUGUGUGUGUGUGAGAAAGACCUGAAGACCAGCUCCCACUGCGGAAGCUCCAGAAGCCCAGCAUCUUGCAUUCAAAGUCCUGCCCGGGUCCUGAUGACCUUCCAGGGGGCCCUGCCCCUUCCACCUGGUGACCAUCCUUCCUCUAAGGCAGGGCGAUGCCAGCCAGGCGUCCCCUGUCUGAUCACUUCAGGGGGAAAAACUCAGAAAGUUUUACACCUAACAGUCCUUGUUCAGGAGGAGAAGAAGGAGAGGGGGAGGGAAGGCAAGACCCAUCCCCCUAAGAGCCGCAGCCUAAAUGUGAACUGCGCACUCUCUCUCAGAUCCUGUCUGGUUAGGUUCCCAUCGGAUGUCCCUACCCUAGUAAACCUUGCUGUGUUGCUUUCCCCUGCUCUCUGUCUCACGCCUGAAUUCUUUCUUGCACAAAGACAAGGACUCUUUGCUUCUCUGGUAACAUUUCUGGUAACCACAAAGGGAUUUUAAGAAGACAUUGAAGGACAGUUUUCCUUCCCUCAAGCAGGACCGGAUCUGUGGAAAUGACCGUUGAGUGUCCAGCACCCCACAGCUCUCCGAGAGCGCAGUCACCCCCACACCGCCCCCCCCCCCACCAUGGCUUAGCUAUGGCCAAAACUCCAGAGGGAUUGUAAGGAAUGGGAGGGCAAUUAGGAAGGGUAGUUGGCUGAGAGCCUGGAGACCUCCUGAGCUCACUUUUGGCUUCCUGGUGGCUGGACUGUGACCUGAGGACCUUGCCUCUCUCUUGGAGGGACGCCUGGUCACGCUGCCUACUGCUACGCAAACAGGGCUUAGCUUCAGUCAAGGCUAAUAUUGGCCCUGCAGGUAAACUCGGACGACUAGAGAUAUCAGGCAACCAUGAGCGAUAGGAGGUUCCAAACACUCAGUGCAACAAUGCGCCUACCCAACCCCACGGCCGGUCCUGCUAGGCCCGGGCAUGCACAGUCUUCCCUGUAAGUGGGGCACCACGGCCUUGCCCUGUGCUCCCUUCCAGUCAACACGGCCUGCUGCACGCACGCAGGCACAGCCAGACAUCUCUGGUGAGAGAUGAGUGCUCUCCAGGGCUGCUUUUUUCCUUUCUCCAUUUCCAAUUCAAUCCCCCUCCUCACUAGGAGGGGGGAGGCCACUGCCCUCUGUCUCACGCCUGAAUUCUUUCUUGCAUGAACUUGAGGACCCUUUGCUUCUCUGGUAACAGAAGCAGAGCAGCUGGGACUCAAACCUGUGCUCCAAUAUGGGAAGUGGGUGUCCCAAGUGGAAACUCACCCUGCUGCUCCAGGACACCAGCCCCUGUUGCUUUUCUUUUCUUCAUUUGCAUUGCGUUUACUUGCACCUUUCUCUUGAUUUCUAUUAUAACAGGGUUAGCAUAGCAAUUUGCACAAAAUUCUUAUAUGUAGACAAUAUUGCCCUCGAAUUACAAGUACUUGGGAUCACAAGCCCUGUGACAUUGGAAACUAAGAGGAAGUAGAAAGAGGUCACUACUGUUCACCCCACCAUUCUGUCAUUCUAGCACAACCAUGGGAGCAAAUUAUUUUUUUUUCUGAAAAGGAAAGAAAAAAUAUAAAUAAUUUUCAAAAUCAUCCAAGCCAUAGAAUAUUUAGGAAAAAAAUUAAUAGAACAUGUACAAGAUCCAUACAAUGAAAACUGCAAAACAUCAUUGUGAUUUUAAAGAGACCUAAGUACAUGGAGAUCCGUGCCGUGGUUGUUUAUUGCAGAGCUAGAGAAUGGCAGCAGCCAAGGUAGAAGUCAACGGGACUUCCUUGGAACCGGGUCGUGAUGAGGCGCUGGCCAUGAUCCCAGCUAACUCUCUUUUCCUGAUCCUUCCCCCAACCACUUCUGAACAUAAGGCAGAGACAACCUUCUCUGAAGAUCCCUGGCCAUCAUCAUCGUUGAACACAUAGAUUCAGACAGGUGCAUCACUGCUGGCCGCCCAACCUACAGUCAUGGUGGGAUUGAAAGAGAACUCAGAAACCUGGAGGAGGCGGCUGCUGAGAUGGGGAAGGGCUCCUUGGUUAUUCCUGGUAUUGCAUACACUGAACACGGUGUCACCAUUGACACCUCCCUGUGGAAAUCUGAGACCAGCAAGUGUCUAUCACUGGCGACCCAGGACACAGAGACCUUAUCAAAAGCGCAACUGCAGGGGCCAACACUGUGGCAUAGCGAGUCAGGCAUCCCAUAUGGGCACUGAAUAGCAUCCUGGCUGUUCCACUUCUGAUCUGGCUUUCAGCUGCUGUGCCUGGAAAGGCAGCAAAGGGUGGCCCAAGUGUUUGGGCCCCUGCCACCCAUGCAAGAGACCUGGAUGGGGAUCCCGGCUUUGACCUGGCCCAGCCCUGGCUGUUGUGGUCAUUUGAGGAGUGAAUCAGAAGGUGGAAGACCUCUCUCUCUCUCUCUGCCUCCGCUUCUCUCUCUCUCUCUCUCUCUCUCUCUCUGUGUAUCUCUGUCUUUCAAACAAAUAAAUAAAUCUUGAAAAAAAAAGAGAGAAGAAGACAGGGGAGAGGAAGUACUUGGGCCAUCUUCCACGGCUUUCUCAAGCCAUAGCAGAGAGCUGGAUCAGACUGUAGCAGCCAGGACUCGAACCAUUAUGCCACAGUUACGGACCGGCCCUUUAAGAACAUGGCUCUGAAAUGACUUUCAGCUGUCGAGUUCGCUUGUCUGUCGGUCUCCUGGCCCUUUCCUUGUGAGAGAGCCUUGAGCCAUGGUCGGGAUUUGCUCUUUGCCUUGGAUAUUGAGAACCCCCGAAGGUGCAUAUCGUGGGUAGGGCUCUGCACUUCCACCAGGGGGCACCAAACACACAGUUGUCUCAGUUUAAUAUUGGAAGCCAUGUAUGGUUACUGCUUAAAUCCGUUUACCCUUGGUAGCUCAUGACGAGAGCCUUGGGCGAUUACUGACGUCAUAAAUAAGCGUGUCAAUUAUUAAAUCAACAACAGGAGUCACUGUGCACUUACUCUCCAUGUAGGAUCUCUGUCCUUAAUAUGUUGUACUAUGUGAAUUAAUGGUAAAACUAGUAUUCAAGCAGUACUUUAUACUUUGUGUGUCUGUGUGGGUGCAAACUGUUGAAAUCUUAGUAUAUACUAAGUUGAUCUUCAUUAUAUAAAGAUAAUUAAAAAAGAAUAUUAAUGAAGAAUGGGAUGGGGGAGCGAGUAGGAGAUGCGAUGGUUUGCGGGUCGGAGGGUGGUUAUGGGGGUGUGUGGAAACUGCUAUAAUCCAGAAGUUGCACUUUCGAAAAUUAUAUUUAUUAAAUACAAGUUAAAAAAUAAAUGAAUAAAU